rnacentral:rRNA from 1 species
GGUAUAGUUAAUCUGCCCUACACAAGAGGACAACAGUUGGAAACGACUGCUAAUACUCUAUACUCCUGCUUAACACAAGUUGAGUAGGGAAAGUUUUUCGGUGUAGGAUGAGACUAUAUAGUAUCAGCUAGUUGGUAAGGUAAUGGCUUACCAAGGCUAUGACGCUUAACUGGUCUGAGAGGAUGAUCAGUCACACUGGAACUGAGACACGGUCCAGACUCCUACGGGAGGCAGCAGUAGGGAAUAUUGCGCAAUGGGGGAAACCCUGACGCAGCAACGCCGCGUGGAGGAUGACACUUUUCGGAGCGUAAACUCCUUUUCUUAGGGAAGAAUUCUGACGGUACCUAAGGAAUAAGCACCGGCUAACUCCGUGCCAGCAGCCGCGGUAAUACGGAGGGGUGCAAGCGUUACUCGGAAUCACUGGGCGUAAAGGGCGCGUAGGCGGAUUAUCAAGUCUCUUGUGAAAUCUAAUGGCUUACCCAUU